rnacentral:rRNA from 1 species
AUUGAACGCUGGCGGCAGGCCUAACACAUGCAAGUCGAGCGGAUGAAGCGAGCUUGCUCCUUUAUUCAGCGGCGGACGGGUGCGUGAUGCCUAGGAAUCUGCCUAGUCUUGCGGUGAAACAGCCGUAACCGGGCGCUAAUACCGCAUACGUCCUGAGGGAGCAAGUGGGGGAUCUUCGGACCUCCCGAUAUCAUCUUAGCCUAGGUCGGAUUAGCUAGUUGGUGGGGUAAAGGCCUACCCAGGCGACGAUCCGUAACUGGUCUGAGAGGAUGAGAAGGCACACUAGAACUGAGCCACGGUCCAGACCACUACGGGAGGGAGCAGUGGGGAAUAGUGGACAAGGGGCGAAAGCCUGAUCCAGCCCAGCCGCGUGGGUGAAGAAGGUCUUCGGAUUGUAAAGCACUUCAAGUUGGGAGGAAGGGCAGUAAGUUAAUAGCUUGCUGUAUUGACGGUACCGAAAGAAUAAGCACCGGCUAACUUCGUG